AGGAUCAUUACUGAACCGUCGACACGAGUUGUUGCUGGUCCUCAAACGGGGGCAUGUGCACGCUCUGUUUACACGUCCACUCACACCUGUGCACCCUCCGUAGUUCUAUGGCUUGGGGGACUCUGUCCGCCUGCUGUGGUUCUAUGUCUUUACACACGCUCUGUAAUAAAGUCUCAUGGAAUGCAUGCCGCGUUUAACGCAAUACAAUACAACUUUCAGCAACGGAUCUCUUGGCUCUCGCAUCGAUGAAGAACGCAGCGAAAUGCGAUAAGUAAUGUGAAUUGCAGAAUUCAGUGAAUCAUCGAAUCUUUGAACGCACCUUGCGCCCUUUGGCUAUUCCGAAGGGCAUGCCUGUUUGAGUAUCAUGAACACCUCAACUCCUCAUGGUUUGCCAUGAUGAGCUUGGACUUCUGGGGGUUUUGCUGGCUUGCCGUCAGCUCCUCUCAAAUCAAUCAGCUUGCCAGUUUUGGUGGCAUCACGGGUGUGAUAACUAUCUACGCUUGUGGUUUUCUGCCAGGUAGCCUCCAGUGAAUGGAGGUUCGCUGGAGCUCAUAAAUGUCUCUCCUCAGCGAAGACGGUUUUGUGAACGUUUGAUCUCAAAUCAGGUAGGACUACCCGCUGAACUUAAGCAUAUCAAUAAGCGGAGGAAAAGAAACUAACAAGGAUUCCCCUAGUAACUGCGAGUGAAGCGGGAAGAGCUCA
rnacentral:rRNA from 1 species